GCUGGGCAGAAUAGGUAAAGAAAAAAAGAAGACCCUUAUUCACAGAGACCACAUGUUAAGACCAAACACCCCAUUCCUCAUACAGAAAAAGAAACUAUUCUAGGUACCGCCACUUGAAAUUUGUGCUGCUUUGGAGGAAGUCUAACAGUUUCCUACAAGUUUUCCAGUUAUUUCGGAGAAAUUAUUUAUCAUCAUGUAGGUUUUAUUUUCUCAAGUGGGCCUUCAUUAAGAAAGCAGGUGGUGAGCGAUUCUGGCAAGUACUCUGGAGUGAGUACUAGAAAGAAAAGGAUGAAGAAAGAAAGGAAGAAAUAAAAAGUAAGGAGAAAAGAGAAAGAAAAAUGACCACUAGGAGUAGUGCAUUUGUAGUGCCAGCUCCAGCCACACAUUUGUGGCAACUGAAAAAAAAAAAAAAGGUUCGAGUGAGUUUUUUCGAAAGUCAAAAUAAAAUUACUAAAGAAAAAAAUUCUAGAGAGUUGUAUGGUUUUUCUAAGUGAGACUAACUCUUUGGAGAAAAGAAAAUUUAAAGGUUAAUGAGAUCAAUCUAGACAUACAGUUAUAAAACAUUUUAAGUUAUUUUAUUUUGGCUUAAUAUGACUUUUAGUUAUGGAAAGA